UACGUAGGGUGCAAGCGUUGUCCGGAAUUAUUGGGCGUAAAGAGCUCGUAGGCGGUCUGUCGCGUCGGCUGUGAAAACCCGGGGCUCAACCCCCGGGCCUGCAGUGGAUACGGGCAGACUAGAGUGCGGUAGGGGAGACUGGAAUUCCUGGUGUAGCGGUGGAAUGCGCAGAUAUCAGGAGGAACACCGAUGGCGAAGGCAGGUCUCUGGGCCGCAACUGACGCUGAGGAGCGAAAGCAUGGGGAGCGAACAGG
rnacentral:rRNA from 1 species